AAAGCCUUUCUCAGCUGGGUAGGUUCUCGGCAGCACCUUCCGUGACUUCAGGGGAUUUGUUCUCAGCAGGAAAGGCUGCUCAGAGAACUUGGGCCCAUUUCUGUUUAAGCCUUCUUGUGGAACGUUUCUCCAACAGCACCAGAGAAAACAAGAACAUUCAUCACUGGGACUCAGGGCGGGUGUAAUACAGAGCGCUGCUGAAUCAGCUUUCCAGCUGUUCCUGAAGGGAGGGAUCUGUUGUGCAUCUUCGUGGAGACGUGGCCGUGACACAGCUCUCUGGCCAUGGUGCUCUGUAAGUGACACGUCUGAUGCUUGUUUCUUUAUGAGGCCUGGUCAGUGCAAGUGCAUCGCCCAUAGCUGCAGAGUCCCUGCCGAUUGCAGGUGUACAGACGCGGCUGUGUGA
rnacentral:lncRNA from 1 species